rnacentral:rRNA from 1 species
CCUACGGGUGGCUGCAGUGAGGAAUAUUGGUCAAUGGGCGAAAGCCUGAACCAGCCAAGUCGCGUGAAGGAUGAAGGCUCUAUGGUUUGUAAACUUCUUUUAUAUGGGAAUAAAGUGAGGCACGUGUUCCUUUUUGUAUGUACCAUAUGAAUAAGCAUCGGCUAAUUCGGUGCCAGCAGCCGCGGUAAUACGGAGGAUGCGAGCGUUAUCCGGAUUUAUUGGGUUUAAAGGGUGCGUAGCUGGUUAAUUAAGUCAGCGGUGAAAGUUUGUGGCUCAACCAUAAAAUUGCCGUUGAAACUGGUGGACUUGAGGAUAGUUGAGGUAGGCGGAAUGCGUGGUGUAGCGGUGAAAUGCAUAGAUAUCACGCAGAACUCCGAUUGCGAAGGCAGCUUACUAAACUGUAACUGACACUGAAGCGCGAAAGCGUGGGGAUCAAACAGGAUUAGAUACCCGGGUAGUC